rnacentral:rRNA from 1 species
CCUAACACAUGCAAGUCGAACGGUAACAGGAAGAAGCUUGCUUCUUUGCUGACGAGUGGCGGACGGGUGAGUAAUGUCUGGGAAACUGCCUGAUGGAGGGGGAUAACUACUGGAAACGGUAGCUAAUACCGCAUAACGUCGCAAAACCAAAGAGGGGGACCUUCGGGCCUCUUGCCAUCGGAUGUGCCCAGAUGGGAUUAGCUAGUUGGUGGGGUAACGGCUCACCAAGGCGACGAUCCCUAGCUGGUCUGAGAGGAUGACCAGCCACACUGGAACUGAGACACGGUCCAGACUCCUACGGGAGGCAGCAGUGGGGAAUAUUGCACAAUGGGCGCAAGCCUGAUGCAGCCAUGCCGCGUGUAUGAAGAAGGCCUUCG